rnacentral:tRNA from 1 species
GCAAUCGUAGUGUAGUGGUUAUCACAUCUGCCUAACACGCAGAAGGUCGUGGGUUCAAUUCCCACCGAUUGUA